rnacentral:misc_RNA from 1 species
GCGGGCGUUCUGUCGCGCAUGUGUGCGGCGCACUUUUCCCGCGCCAUGCGCUCGGCCAGUUCGACGAUCUUCAGGCGUCCCUGCAUGUUGGGAAUGGCCUUGAACGCGGCAAGCAAACGCUGCGCUUCCUCGUCCGAUGUCACCAGAAUAUCCCUGAGCAUUGUCCGUCCCUGCGGCUUUAAGCGUCUCUUGGUUAGGCCGCUUCUUAGUCGCCGGACGUUACCAUCCGGUUCAUGCGCGAAUGUGACGGUUUUAUUGGGGUGUUGGUGUGGUU